rnacentral:lncRNA from 1 species
UAUAAAAAACUUGCCUUGUAAGUUAAGAUAUGUGUCUUACAAAGUUAACAUGUUCUAGAGGUCCUAUAGGACAUCACGACAUAGCUCCUAGUUAAGAGUAUAUAUGAAGGCAAGAGUGAUGCCUUCUUCAUUCUUGUCAAUGCCUUUUUAAUUCUUAGUCUUAUUUUAAGACUUUUCUAGUCUUCUUGUUUUUGGCAAUAACCAUUCUAGUUUAAUAUUAUAUUAUCUUUGAGUAACUUUUUUGUUCUUUUCAAUGACACAAGAAUGUAUUGAAGAUUUUUCUUUCUUCAAGAACUUUGACAUCCUAUGACUAUAUAUUUCUACAAUCAAAAAUCUCUUAAUUAUGGGUGUUUACUUCCAUGUAAGAACUUAUGAUUGUAGAUGUCUAUGACCAUUGAAUCGUGAUUGUGUAGCCUUACCA